UACGUAGGGGGCAAGCGUUAUCCGGAUUUACUGGGUGUAGAGGGAGCGUAGACGGCGAUGCAAGUCUGAAGUGAAAGGCGGGGGCCCAACCCCCGGACUGCUUUGGAAACUGUAUGGCUGGAGUGCAGGAGAGGUAAGUGGAAUUCCUAGUGUAGCGGUGAAAUGCGUAGAUAUUAGGAGGAACACCAGUGGCGAAGGCGGCUUACUGGACUGUAACUGACGUUGAGGCUCGAAAGCGUGGGGAGCAAACAGG
rnacentral:rRNA from 1 species